rnacentral:lncRNA from 1 species
GCCCAUUUGUAGGGGGUGUAUGGACAUGCCACUGGUCUGCAAGAAGCAAACCAGCUUGGGGCUUGUGAUGGAAAGGCCCGAUGGGAAAAGAUAAAACACAAUGACUCCAUCCUCUUCACGCUCUAUGCAUUCAGUACCGAAGGAACUAUUCUACCUACAUACGCCGAUCCCAGCCGCGACGGAAGCAUCGGCCGCACCGGGUUUUGUUACCGGCGGUGGCGAUUUGAAACAACGACGCCCGCUUCACCUUUGUCACAUCAACCAUAUUUGAAACAAACGUUCACAUAAUCUUACCGGCAACGGCGAAGACGGCGUCGGCGCUCGCGGAAUCCCAACUCUCUCCAAUCUUCUUCCCUGGUUCUGUUACUAGUUGUGACUCGGUUGUUCUGCAAGCUGUGAACCGUUGCGAAAGGGAUCGACGCUUGUUCUGUUGUCACAGUUGGCGUCAAUGGAUUGCGAUGGCGACACUCUCCUCAAGUCCUUCGGUUGCAUUUUGUGUAUUGCAUCGAGCGAGAUUGCAUGGUGAUGUUUAUACGGAUUGAGAACUGCGAAUGAACGAGAGUAUUCAGUGAGGGUGUGAGAAUGCGAGGUUGCGGGCUUUGCACUUGAGAGUGCAGUUUCCGGUUCUGUUGAAUUUCUUUUUGUGAAAUUUUCUGUUGUGAAUGCUUAGAGGAUGAAGGAGUGUGAGGGGAUUCAGGGUGAGUGUGGUGUUGUUAUGGUUUCUUUGAGGAGUUUGGGGAGGUUGAAGUUAUUGCUUGAAGUUGCAGUUCAGAUGCGGUUAGAGAGUUUGUUGUGCAGAGUUCGUCUGCGUUUCAAUGGAAGGAGGAAGAAGACAUCGAGAAGAUGCUUGUGCCUGUUAUUCAGAAAUAGGAAGAAGGUGAAGGGAUGAUGGUGAAGAUUUGUCUCACUGUGAAAGUUGUAGUGUCGAUUAUGAAGAAAAAUGAAAAAAUCUCCGCAAUAAAUCACACUACCAGCUUAUAUACAUUUUCAGUCUGUUAGAUCGGUUAGCUUCCAUUAAAAAUCUUUGUGUAAGUCGGUUAGGAGUUAUAACGAUGUUAGCUGAAGUUUUUUUAGAUUGUUAGAAAGGUUGAAACUUCUGUUAAGAUCUUUGCAGACUUUUUCAUUGAACUUGGUUGUUGCCGUUUGGCUUGCAGCUUUCACGUCGUUUUGGUCGCAACUUGUGGUUUGCCAUUUGGUUGCCGUUUUGCAUCAUGGCCUUGCGUUAUGCUUUGCCGUUUUGCGCUUUGUUAUCGCGUUUCAUGUGCAUACGCCUGCGUUUUGCUUUUCUUUGUGCAGGAUUAUUUAUGCGUUUCAUGUAUUGCACUGCAACUUCAUGUCGUUUUGGGUUUGGUAGCUUGUGUAGCGUGGCAGCUUGUGACGGCGACUUUUCUUGCGUGUAGCAGCUUGUGAGUUUGCUACGUUUGCCGGCGUUUUGGUUUUAAUGGCUUGCAUUUGUUCUGCUUGUUUUCCAUUUAUGUUCAUGCUGCUAUUUGCAUUUACUGUUGUACUGCGUUUUCCUUUUUAUAGCAGCUUUUAUUGCGUUUUGGCUUGCAGCUGGUUUGUACGUUUGGUGCUUUUGGCCUCUUUCAAUUAAU